rnacentral:rRNA from 1 species
CCUACGGGCGGCAGCAGUGGGGAAUAUUGGACAAUGGGCGAAAGCCUGAUCCAGCCAUGCCGCGUGUGUGAAGAAGGCCUUCGGGUUGUAAAGCACUUUCAGUGGGGAAGAAAGCCUUGGGGCUAAUACCCUCGAGGAAGGACAUCACCCACAGAAGAAGCACCGGCUAACUCCGUGCCAGCAGCCGCGGUAAUACGGAGGGUGCGAGCGUUAAUCGGAAUUACUGGGCGUAAAGCGCGCGUAGGCGGUCUGAUAAGCCGGUUGUGAAAGCCCCGGGCUCAACCUGGGAACGGCAUCCGGAACUGUCAGGCUAGAGUGCAGGAGAGGAAGGUAGAAUUCCCGGUGUAGCGGUGAAAUGCGUAGAGAUCGGGAGGAAUAUCAGUGGCGAAGGCGGCCUUCUGGACUGACACUGACGCUGAGGUGCGAAAGCGUGGGUAGCAAACAGGAUUAGAUACCCUAGUAGC